UACGAAGGGGGCUAGCGUUGUUCGGAAUCACUGGGCGUAAAGCGCACGUAGGCGGAUUGUUAAGUCAGGGGUGAAAUCCUGGAGCUCAACUCCAGAACUGCCUUUGAUACUGGCGAUCUCGAGUCCGGGAGAGGUGAGUGGAACUCCGAGUGUAGAGGUGAAAUUCGUAGAUAUUCGGAAGAACACCAGUGGCGAAGGCGGCUCACUGGCCCGGUACUGACGCUGAGGUGCGAAAGCGUGGGGAGCAAACAGG
rnacentral:rRNA from 1 species